UGGGGAAUAUUGGACAAUGGGCGAAAGCCUGAUCCAGCCAUGCCGCGUGAGUGACGAAGGCCUUAGGGUUGUAAAGCUCUUUUGGCGGGGAAGAUAAUGACGGUACCCGCAGAAUAAGCUCCGGCUAACUUCGUGCCAGCAGCCGCGGUAAUACGAAGGGAGCUAGCGUUGUUCGGAAUCACUGGGCGUAAAGCGCACGUAGGUGGGCAGUUAAGUCAGGGGUGAAAGCCCGAGGCUCAACCUCGGAAUUGCCUCUGAUACUGGCUGUCUAGAGUUCGAGAGAGGUGAGUGGAAUUCCUAGUGUAGAGGUGAAAUUCGUAGAUAUUAGGAAGAACACCGGUGGCGAAGGCGGCUCACUGGCUCGAUACUGACACUGAGGUGCGAAAGCGUGGGGAGCAAACAGGAUUAGAUACCCAAGUAGUCCCUGAGCGGGCUGGCAAGGCGCAU
rnacentral:rRNA from 1 species